rnacentral:lncRNA from 1 species
AUGUUGUUGUUUUUUCACCAGUAUGAAUCUUAUUCUCUUCAUUCCUCUCUUACAGGGUUCACAAUGAUCAAGUGUGGAUUAAGUUGUCGGACGGCAACGCAUUUUCAUUGUUGCUAUUGUACAGCAACAAUUAUAAAUCGAUUGCAAUUUACAAAGCACUUACUAAUACACCAGGGGGAGGGGCAUGCUGCAGCCCCCGCACGGCACUCUGUGGCCCCUGUGCAGCAGUCUGUGGCCCCCGCUCAUCACCCAUUGGUCCCCGCUCAGUACCAAGAGGCCGCCGCUCAUCACCCAUUGGCCCCCCCCGCUCAGCACCCAUUGGCCCCCACUCAGCACCCAGAGGCCCCGGCUCAGCACCCAGAGGCCCCGGCUCAGCACCCAGCGGCCCCCACUCAACACCCAUUGGCCCCCGCUCAGCACCCAUUGCCCCCCCCAGCUCAGCACCCAUUGGCCCCAACUCAUCACCCAGAGGCCCCCACUCAGCACCCAGAGGCCCCCACUCAUCACCCAGAGGCCCCCACUCAUCACACACAGGCCCCCACUCAUCACCCAGAGGCCCCCACUCAUCACCCAGAGGCCCCCACUCAUCACACACAGGCCCCCACUCAUCACACAGAGGCCCCCACUCAUCACACAGAGGCCCCCACUCAUCACACAGAGGCCCCCACUCAGCACCCAUUGGCCCCAACUCAUCACCCAGAGGCCCCCACUCAGCACCCAUUGGCCCCAACUCAUCACCCAGAGGCCCCCACUCAUCACCCAGAGGCCCCCACUCAUCACCCAGAGGCCCCCACUCAUCACCCAGAGGCCCCCACUCAUCACACACAGGCCCCCACUCAUCACACACAGGCCCCCACUCAUCACACACAGGCUCCUGCAGAGUGUUCCGCGGCCACUAAAGCAUCUAGUAAACAAAAUAAACUCUGUUGUCCUCAUUGCAAGAUGAUUUUAAGCAAAAAAAACUUCAAAACACACUGCAGGAGAAAACACCCCCACCAAUUUGAGACGGACACUUGGCGUGAAUGA